rnacentral:rRNA from 1 species
CGCCAUUUAAAGUGGUACGCGAGCUGGGUUUAGAACGUCGUGAGACAGUUCGGUCCCUAUCUGCCGUGGACGUUUGAGAUUUGAGAGGGGCUGCUCCUAGUACGAGAGGACCGGAGUGGACGAACCUCUGGUGUUCCGGUUGUCACGCCAGUGGCAUUGCCGGGUAGCUAUGUUCGGAAAAGAUAACCGCUGAAAGCAUCUAAGCGGGAAACUUGCCUCAAGAUGAGAUCUCACUGGAACCUUGAGUUCCCUGAAGGGCCGUCGAAGACUACGACGUUGAUAGGUUGGGUGUGUAAGCGCUGUGAGGCGUUGAGCUAACCAAUACUAAUUGCCCGUGAGGCUUGACCAUAUAACACCCAAGCAAUU